rnacentral:rRNA from 1 species
AUUGAACGCUGGCGGCAGGCCUAACACAUGCAAGUCGAACGAGUGGCGGACGGGUGAGUAAUGUAUGGGAAACUGCCUGAUGGAGGGGGAUAACUACUGGAAACGGUAGCUAAUACCGCAUACCAUCAGAUGUGCCCAGGUGUGAUUAGCUUGUUGGUGGGGUAACGGCUCACCUAGGCGACGAUCCCUAGCUGGUCUGAGAGGAUGAUCAGCCACACUGGAACUGAGACACGGCCCAGACUCCUACGGGAGGCAGCAGUGGGGAAUAUUGCACAAUGGGCGCAAGCCUGAUGCAGCCAUGCCGCGUGUAUGAAGAAGGCCUUAGGGUUGUAAAGUACUUUCAGCGGGGAGGCGUUACCCGCAGAAGAAGCACCGGCUAACUCCGUGCCAGCAGCCGCGGUAAUUC